rnacentral:rRNA from 1 species
AUUGAACGCUGGCGGCAGGCCUAACACAUGCAAGUAGAGCGAGCGGCGGACGGGUGAGUAAUGUAUGGGGAGCUGCCUGAUGGAGGGGGAUAACUACUGGAAACGGUAGCUAAUACCGCAUACCAUCAGAUGAACCCAUAUGGGAUUAUCUUGUAGGUGAGGUAACGGCUCACCUAGGCGACGAUCCCUAGCUGGUCUGAGAGGAUGAUCAGCCACACGGGAACGGAGACACGGCCCAAGCUCCUACGGUAGGCAGAAGUGGGGAAUAUUGCACAUGGUGCGCAAGCCUGUGGCAGCCAUGCCGCGGGUAUUAAGAAGGCCUUCGGGUUGUAAAGUACUUUCAGUCGGGAGGCGUUACCGACAGAAGAAGCACCGGCUAACUCCGUGCCAGCAGCCGCGGUAAUAC